rnacentral:rRNA from 1 species
CCUACGGGAGACAGCAGUGGGGAAUAUUGGGCAAUGGGCGCAAGCCUGACCCAGCAACGCCGCGUGAAGGAAGAAGGCUUUCGGGUUGUAAACUUCUUUUGUCGGGGACGAAGCAAGUGACGGUACCUGACGAAUAAGCCACGGCUAACUGCGUGCCAGCAGCCGCGGUAAUACGUAGGUGGCAAGCGUUAUCCGGAUUUACUGGGUGUAAAGGGCGUGUAGGCGGGACUGCAAGUCAGAUGUGAAAACCACGGGCUCAACCUGUGGCCUGCAUUUGAAACUGUAGUUCUUGAGUACUGGAGAGGCAGAUGGAAUUCCUAGGGUAGCGGUGAAAUGCGUAGAUAUUAGGAGGAACACCAGUGGCGAAGGCGGUCCGCUGGACAGCAACUGACGCUGAGGCGCGAAAGCGUGGGGAGCAAACAGGAUUAGAUACCCGGGUAGUC